CGGCCCGCCGAGAGGACCUGGGAUCCAGAGGAAGAGAGAGCCAAACUUUUUUCCAAAGUUAACUAUUUUAGAUAGAAUACUCUUCCUUAACACUAACUAAUGUCAUAUUUUAUAUGCUAAAAUAUUAACUAUGGUUGGGUUUAAAUCUCUUUCGUGCUCAUUCUUUAGUGUAAGACAGUUCAGGACGCCCCCUUGUGGAUUUAAAUAAUCCCUUCACUCCUUUCAGAGCCUGAGAUUUAUUGCUGGUGUGUUUUUCAGAGAAGAAAACAUUUAAACCCCAUUACAUUAGAGCAGUAAACUGUCAUGUAACAGAAGCAUGUUUUCUAAUUGCUGGUUCAAUACAAACAUAAGUUUCAGACAAAAUGGGAAGAUUUCUGAAUUAAAAGCUCCCGUUCCAUCAAUUUUCCGCAAGUAAAUCUGUAAACGUAAACGUCUAUAUAUCGGUGAUAAGAAAUCUGCUGAGUAAUCAGUAUGUGACGUAGCAUCGAUGUGCGCAUGCGCAUUACCACAAGGUGGAACGGAUGAAUGGGGUAGCUCAGAUAAUUAGAGCACUGGGUCUUUAAGUUGCCCCAGCAACCAGGGAGGUUAGGUGCUGCUGUGAUCUACAGCUGAACUAUUCCCGACUUUCCAGAUCAGCUGGACUUUGAUUCCUCGCACUAUUUCAAGGACCGUCACCUCAACUCAGUCCUGCUGGCUGACCGAUGGGGGUCCUCAAUGAGGCAGUGCUCCAAAACGUCCAGAUAAAACAGGCAGCUGCAACCUGCUGAGAAAAAAUAGUACACACGUUUAAUUUAACUUUAAAAAAUGUUUAAUUCAUGUAAUUUAAUUUGUGCCUGUAAUGUCUGUGAAGGAAUGAAUGAAGGAAUUAUAUUUAGUUAAGUUUGAGUUUGCUAACUGGCUACAAAACGUUACAUUAGUACAUUGCAUAGAUUAGGAAAUCUUUGGUUUUUAUUGUAACAACUUUAAUGCAGAACUGGAGUAUAGCUACGGGUUGAGAUUUUACACAGUAUCUAUCCAUCUAUCUAUCUAUCUAUCUGAGAAAUGACUAGAGGAGAAAAAACAGAUUUGGUAUCAGGUACUUUUUUAUUAGAAGCAGAAAAAUGUCACAAUCUUCAUUUUGUUUUCUGUAAACGUCCUGAUCUUAAGGAGCUGCUUAUGUAAAUGCCAGAUGGGCAGUCAGUAAACAUUUUAAUAAUUUACAUUUUAGGCUGCAUAUGACAAACACAAUCACCAUAGAGAGAGAGUGAGAGAAAUGCAUAUUGAUUUUUGAUUUUUAAAAGUAGAAAAUAACCAGCACCAAAAACUUAACUACCCUAUUACCCUCAUUUUGCCAAAGUGCACCACGGAACGCCACAGAAAGUCAUUUCUACCUGUUGCCAUCAGGCUUUUCAAUGCACAAGUCUGUGCUAUUUGAUUCAAAUUCUUUCUGCGCUCAUUUAUAGGUUAUCGAUUAAUAUAUUGCAUGUGAUUGCUUGUUAUUUAUUUGUUUAUAAUAAAUAUCAUUUUGAAAUUAUCAGUCAUAUAUAUAUAUAUAUAUAU